rnacentral:rRNA from 1 species
UUUUAUUUGAGAGUUUGAUCCUGGCUCAGGAUGAACGCUGGCGGCGUGCCUAACACAUGCAAGUUGAGCGAUUUACUUCGGUAAAGAGCGGCGGACGGGUGAGUAACGCGUGGGUAACCUACCCUGUACACACGGAUAACAUACCGAAAGGUAUGCUAAUACGGGAUAAUAUAUUUGAGAGGCAUCUCUUGAAUAUCAAAGGUGAGCCAGUACAGGAUGGACCCGCGUCUGAUUAGCUAGUUGGUAAGGUAACGGCUUACCAAGGCGACGAUCAGUAGCCGACCUGCGAGGGUGAUCGGCCACAUUGGAACUGAGACACGGUCCACACUCCUACGGGAGGCAGCCGUGGGGAAUAUUGCACCAUGGGCGAAAGCCUGAUGCAGCAACGCCGCGUGAGGGAUGAAGGCCUUCGGG